rnacentral:rRNA from 1 species
GAUUUCUGGCUUGAAACAUUUUGCCGGCCACGGUUUCGUGUGUUAGUGCUUGAUGUUCUGGCCAUCCUUCCAAUCGCCAUCGGCUUAUCUUCAUUGAUCGGUCGGUGGUAUUGGAUCUUUUACUUUGAAAAAAUUAGAGUGUUUAAAGCAGGCUUUUGCUAUGAAUACAUUAGCAUGGAAUAAUAAUUUAGGACUUUGGUUCUAUUUUGUUGGUUUCUAGAACUCGAGUAAUGAUUGAUAGGGAUAGUUGGGGGUGCUAGUAUUCAGUGGCCAGAGGUGAAAUUCUUGGAUUCACUGAAGACUAACUUAUGCGAAAGCAUU